rnacentral:tRNA from 1 species
GCCACCGUAGCUCAGUUGGCAGAGCGAGCGAUUCGUAAUCGCUAGGUCACGAGUUCGACUCUCGUCGGUGGCU